ACGCAGAGUAGGACAAGACCAAGAAAACAGCCACGCGAAGCAGCAACUCUAGGUUGGGAGUGCAGAAGCCAACAAGUGAGAAGGCGCCGCGUUUCCGGGGCGCAGCUAGAAUGCUAGAGCAGGCGCCAGAGAAGACAGCUAGAGUCGGAAUCAGAGCCCAAACCUCUCUCCUGGAGGCGGCUCAGCUUCUUUCUUUUCUAGACCUUCUUCGGUUGCGCUGGGCUUCCUUUUAUCCGGGUAGGAGCCACAUCCCUGGGGAAUAUGCAGCGCGCGUGGAUCCUGCUCACCUUGGGCUUGAUGGCCUGUGUGUCCUCAGAGACGGGAACACCAGUUGCUACUAGCAAAGAAGGAGAAUGUUCACAGAAGAGGAAUGAGUGGAAAGAAGGUUUGAUACCACUGGGUAAAAUGAUUGUGAGAAAAGAAAUUUCAUAUAUGGGGAACAACACACACAACCUGGAAGCAUGACAGAAACUUGCCUUAUUUGGAAAAUUUAUAGGGAAUUUGCACUGUGGUACCAAGGAAUGGUGAAAGAUGCAGGAAAUGAAAAGCAAGAAGUGGGCAAUUUAUAAGUCUUAAAGUUCUAAGGAGACCAUGCUGUUGUCUGCCACACCCACUCCAGUGAAUUCUGUGUGUGAAGCUUGGCCACAGUCCUGAGGCAAAAAGUUUCACAGAAACUUGUCUGCUGGAGAGUCUCUGGUGCCCCAUAACCAGAUUUGUCCCUAAGAUAGGGUGGAGGGUCUUUCAUGCUUUCUUAGAGUAUUUUACUAGAUAAGAGCUAAAAAAUCUCAGGGCAAGUUCUACAAAGAAAACUUAGAAUUACAGCCGAGGCACUCCCAUAUGCAGGAAUUUACAAUGGCCUAAGAAGAAGGAGGGUUGUGGCUUAAGGAGGAACUACAGUAUUACAUUAUUCAUGAGCAAGAGCAGAACCCCCUGGUGCAAGCUUUCAAAAGGCUCAGAGGAAUAGCAUAAAUUGUGACUAGAGUGUGAAAUCCUCACCUGGCUCCCUAAUGGCUAACUUUAGAAAGGGCUGCCUUUUAUCUCAGUUGUAACCACUGCCUGGUUCCUGCUAGUAUUUAUGUAUGCAUUUCUCUGUUUUUUGCAAGAUAAUAUCAAUGUACCUUGGCUGAUGUGUCACCUAACUUCUUUGUUUUCUUCUGUAAUAUAAGUCUGAUGCUCACUUUGAGAAAUUACAUUCAGAUAGUGUACUCUCUGUGUGUCAGUGUCUGUUUGUCACUUUUCGCCA
rnacentral:lncRNA from 1 species